AUGGUGAAAAGUGGAUUAGAAGAAAAACCAGAGUCCUAUGACAUCCCUCGGGUCAGUCAGUACCGCCUCGCAGCCCACCUGGGGUCAGCACUGAUUCUCUACUGUGGCAGCCUGUGGACCUCCCUGUCACUGCUACUGCCUCAGCACAAGAUACCGGAAACCCGACAGCUCCUGUGGCUGAGACGCUUUGCUGGUGGAACAGCAGGCCUGGUGUUCCUCACAGCUCUCUCAGGGGCUUUUGUGGCAGGGCUGGAUGCUGGGCUCGUUUACAACUCCUUCCCCAAAAUGGGAGAAUCUUGGAUCCCAGAGGACCUCCUGACCUUCUCUCCCAUCCUGAAGAAUGUUUUUGAGAAUCCUACUAUGGUUCAGUUUGAUCACCGGCUUCUGGGAGUCACGUCUGUCACUGCCAUUACAAUGCUCUAUUUCCUGUCCCGGAGAAUCCCCCUUCCUCGAAGAACCAAGAUGGCAGCGGUGACUCUGCUAGCUUUGGCAUAUGCACAGGUGGCCUUGGGCAUCAGCACUCUGCUUAUGUAUGUGCCAACUCCGCUGGCUGCCACACACCAGUCAGGCUCCUUGGCUCUGCUCAGUGGUGCCCUUUGGCUCAUGAAUGAACUCCGAAGAGUUCCAAAAUAAUUCUCCAAGGAUCGUUUCCUAGGACUGGAACUGCCCUGGGAAUUCAUCACCAAGAACAAGACCUUUUCGGGUCUUUUCAGGACGGUGGUAUUGACAGGCCACGGUUUCCAAAUUGGUCAGGUCAUUCAGAACUUUUAAGGUGGGCACUGAAUCAAGAAUGUCACUAAGGUGUUCUUAUACCAGAGGUUUCCUUUAAAACAACUGUUGCAUAAACAAGCAUCUGUCAUUUGCUGCUUAAUAUGCAGUCUGAUGUCUUAGAGCUCGGUUUCUAUGUGCUGCAGACUCCUGUCCACUUGUCAAGCUGGUGGUGACAGUGACAGACUCAAGAACACAAGCCCCAAUGGAGUUACUCAACCAAUGGAAUGGUGACUGAAUGUUGGUUUGUUACCAAGGUGUAGGGUUGUCAUUGUUUCUGGUUUUUAUAAGCAGCUAACUAGCUAACUAGCUAACUAGCUAGGUUUUUGAAGUGAACAUUCUCUUAUGUAUAUGUGUGUUUGUAUUAAUAUAUGCCAUGUGUAUGAAGGAGCCCAUGGAGGCCAAGGAAGGUACUGGGUCCCUAGAGCUGGAGUUAUAGGUGACUUUGACAUGCCUGAUGUGGGUGCUAGUAACCAAGCACAGUCCUCUGGAAGAGCAGCAGGCACUUCUAACUGAGCCAUCUCUCCAGCCCUGGAGUAAAUAUCAUGAAAAUUACAUGUUGACAAUUUCAAUUUUUUUUUUUUUUUUUUUUUUUUUGGUUCUUUUUUUCGGAGCUGGGGACCGAACCCAGGGCCUUGUGCUUCCUAGGCAAGCGCUCAACCACUGAGCUAAAUCCCCAACCCGACAAUUUCAAUUUUUAAAAAACAUGUCUGACCUGAGGUUGCACAUUUGCAGUUUUUGAACAAGAUAAUCAGGUUUUUAUGGUUUUUGGGUUUUUUGUUUUUGUUUUUAACUCUAAUAAUUAUUCUGAGUCUCAGUGUAUCCUAAAGAGUACUGAUCUUAGCUAGUUUUAGCAAAAACAAUGACAUAGGCAUUUUACUCUCCGAGUCCCAGGCCCUGUUGGGCUGUGUUAUUGCACAAAAGAGGCUCCCUUCACCUCAGAACUCAGGACUCCUCCUAGACCCCACGAAAUCACCAGGCCUCAUCUAACCUGUUAGCCCUGUCUGUUGGCCGGCAGGGUAGACGCUCUUCUAGACAGAACCCCUUCGAGGAGAGGACCAGGGCAGCUUGCAGACCACCUGCUUCCCAUCUCUAAAUCCAGUCUUCGGUGAGAAGCAGACAGCAGAGGGAAGGAGGGACCAACCAAAGAUCACAUGACGGUUUUAUGGCCACCCCAAGCACGUGGCAACCCGAGUUGGCUCAAGUCUCAGAUGUUUUGCUGCAUUUAUUUUUGACUACAGUUAAGCAUGUUCAGAACAGAUCCAGUAUUUAGCUGUUUAACUGGAUUAUGGUUUCUGUAUGGUCCUGGUGAAGAGAGAUCAUCGUAACUAUUUUUGUUAUCUGUAUAAUUCACUGACACCAUUUAUAUACCAAAUACUGAAUGAAGAAAGCAUGAAUUGGUGGAAAUAUAUGAUUAUUGAUUUAUGCCCCAAAUGUCUAUUUCAGAAAAAGCCAUUGCACACUUAAAGGAUUAAAUAAUUUCCUUUAAUGUUUUCAACAGUCUGUCAACAGUUCUGUCAAUUGUUUUUAAAUUAUAAAGGUAAUUAAAAUAUGUAUUUUCAGUCAGCUAACCCAGGAUUUUUUUUCCUUUUACCAGCCCCAUGGGAUUGAUUAGGCCAUAACUCUGAUGACAUCAUUUAAUCUUUUUAAGAAUUUACUUAUUGUGUGAAUGUAUAUGACAGGGGAUAUACACUGCAUAUGCGUGUGCAUGCAGAGAUCAGGGGACAACUCCUGUGAGUUGGUUCUCUCCUCUCUUUGUGUGGAAAUUGCUUUUUACCCGCUACACUGUCUCCCUGGCCCAGGUUUGUAUCUUUAACCUACACUGAGAUCUGCGUCUGCUGCAACAGGGUUAUUAGUGGCUGCCCAGAGUGAAGUUGGUUCCCUGAUAAUUGGGGAUUUAGAAUAGCAGUUUUACUUGCAGCCCUCCUGGUCUUGGGUAAAUGGUGGGUUAUAUAUGGGCAUAGGCCACACAGAGCCACAGAAAGAUGACUGUCGACACUCUAAUACACUGCACAUUUUCUAGAACUCCACGUGUAUCAGAAUAUUAAGAAUUAGUCCACAAAAUUUAAGAAUUCCACAAAAUUCUUUUUUCACCUCCUGGCUGAUGAAAUUCUUAAUGUAAUUCAUGUUAAGAGCAGCUUCAGCCACCUGAAGCAGGGAGGGGCUGCAGCCUUUGUCCUUAAGGUCGGGGGUCACAGUGGCAGACAGCGUAGCCACCACAGAGACUGUGCUAAAGAUAGACACUCUGGAGGAGACGUGGCGAAUACUUACAGCUUCAACUGAAUGGACAGUGCGGAAGGAGAACUUGAAGCAGAAAUACAAGCAGUUGGCAUAUUCAGGAUUCCCGCUGGCAGAGGCGGACCUGGGAAGCUAAUAAAGGGGCAGAUCCUUUCCUACCAGAGGAGCCCAACUCAGGGCUGUGCUCCAUGGGUGCACAGAUUUAAUGUCCUCCAGGGCCCAUGUGUUAAAGGCUUGGUCCCCAUGGUGACAUUAUUGGGAAUGAUGGGCCCCUUGUGGCCACAGCUUCCUAGAAGGUCUUUAAGUUACUGGAGGAGGAGCGAGAAUCCCAACUCCAUCAUUUCUUGCAUCCUGGCCAUGAGCUAGGCAUCCGAUUUGCUACACCACUUGUGCCUGCUACAGUGUACACUUCAUUGCAGGCCAAAGCAAAGGGACACGCGACUACGGAGUUAAACAUCUACCUGUGACCCAGAGCAACCCUUCUCUUUAUAAAUGAUCUCAGGUGUUUUGUUACAGUACUAGACUAGCUGGCUGGAGGUGAGGGUGGGGGUCUAUUAGCUGCUGUCCUGCUAUAAAGAGGGGCUCAGGAAUAGAGACAUCCUCAAGCUUGUCUGGCAUGCAGGCAUGGCUAAACAUCCCAUGACUCAGAACAUUUUCAACUCUGAUUUUUAUGCAGUGGAAGCACUGAUCUGGUUCAUAUUUGAAAAACUGGAAGCCCUUAGAGGAUGAGCAAUGACUCCAUUUUACAAUAUAAAAGAGUCUCUUUAUUGCUCAGAUUUCCAGAGAAGAAAAUGGUCAGCUGGUGUGUGAGUCUCCUCUGUCCCUCAAAUGAUUGUAUUAACAAACCAAAAUGAAAUACUAGGCCAAGGGGAAAUAUGAAACACAAUGACAGUCCACUGGCAUAUACAACAGGGCAAAACUGGCUUAAAACAGAACCUUCACAAGCCUCCCACAGAAACAGAAAGCCGGGCAUCAACAGGAACCCACCUAUGGUAUAAUAGCUUUUCCAGUUAGAUCACCUCCAAGUUAGGAGGCCAAGGACAGAGCCACCCACAAUACAGACCAUUACCUAAAAGUAUUUGAUUUUAAUCAUUGUUUACAAAUGUUUGUUCUUCUGUAUUGUUAGUCAAAGGUGCCAAAACUUGGUUUUACAUCCUCAGUUUUGAACAUACUAAUUUUUAUAAUGCCAACAAAAUCUUGAUGAGUUUGCAGAAGUCUGCCAUCCCACGGACUGAGUUGAAACAUAAACUAAGAGACUGAUUUAAGAGGCUCUGAAACAACCAUUGCUACUACUUAAUUCCUAGUCCAGCUACAAAGGAGUCACAUACAAAUCGCAGUCUGGAAACUUCCCAAGAAUCACCACCAUGUUCUAUAAUGAGGUAGAUAGAUCUCUAUGAGGCAUAUGUCCGUCACUCAGAUAGUAAUUCUAUUACUGGAAUGUUGUGGGUAAGGAAAAAAUGUGCAAAGUUAAGUUCAUUGCUUAAACAUAAACCUAAAACAGAUGCAGGGGAAACGUGGCUAAUGAGAUUCCACCUGAAGUCUACCCAGUGGGGAUGACGUAAGCACACAGGGACAAGUGGAGAGCAAUACGCUCAGUUCCUUUCAGCCGUGUAACACUGUCCCUUCUUGUUCUUAACCCAUGGAACUCUGGGAAAUCUUACGGUAAUAAAGGUAAGUCUGGAUCCCAUAAUAUGAAAGAAGUAAACAGGAUGUAGUGCACCAAACAGAAACUCAAAGACUAAUUAAAAUAAAUUAAGAAAUAUAUUUAUAUUGAGAAAUAAUAAGGAUAGGCAUCCUGAGAUUUUUUUUCAACUAUAAAAAGAACGUAGGGGUAUCAAUCCGAAGGGCUGCCGCCAUGAUUAGAUAAACAUACAAUAAAGAACACGACAUUCUUAAGAGUGACACAAACAAGUGCUUGACAAAUGGUAGUUUCUAGUACCUUCAGGACAAAGAGGAAGUUCAGUAAUGAGAGCUUCAAACUGGACUAGCUCCCCUCCCCUCCCCCAGCUUCAGCAGCUGCACAGGGAUACGGUCCCUGUUAACCUGCCCAGGAACUCUGACUAGCUCUCCCAACACACCGAGACAGCUGUACAGAAACCAAGAUGAAGUUAAAUGUCCCCUGAGGAAGCAAAUGGCCAGUAAGAACAUUUUAAAGCAACAUUAAAAAAAAAAAAAAAAAAAAGCAGAGGCUCUCACAGGACUUAAAAAAUGAGAAUGAUGGAGAAUGGAGACGGCUGAGAAGUCUUAACAUUAGAAAUGUCAAUGGCGCAGUCCUAGUGGAAAGGACGUGAAAUGAAAGAAUCUUUGCUAGGUGUGCACUCACCUAGUGUGCACACGUGGUGGCAGACGUCUGUAAUCGGAGGCUGGGGCAGGACGACCACUGAGAACCAGGC
rnacentral:lncRNA from 14 species